UGUAACAACAAGGAAAUGGAUUGUGUUAAAUUAAAUGUGCUUGUUUAAGAGAAAAUAUUUAUUGUAACCUCAAACAAUGUUCGUUUUAUGAAUAAUUAGAUGUGUCCUUUUACAUGAAGCUCUCUGUUUCCUCUAGAAAAAUCAUGAGCACACAGAAAAUGUACUUGACAGUAAUUGAAAUGAUCAUACGGUUCAUGGCAUGCAUGAAUCAUUACAUCGGAUUAAAUGCAUGCAUGGACUAAAUGUCAGCAUUUUCUCAACAGCCAUACGAUUACCCUAUGAAAUCUGAAGAACAUGAUACUGACAACACUUCAAAAACCAAAUGCAGAAUGUCAGAUAAGGCUCAUAAAUAUUUCAUCUGUUGCAUUAGGAAUGGGGGCAGACUUGAAAAACGUUAAAAGGAUAAUAGAUGCAGGACCACCAACUAGUUUAGAAACAUAUAUUCAAGAGAUUGGUUGUGCUGGACGAACAGGGUCUGUGGCAGAAGCAGUUCUCUACUUCAAUAAUUCUGACAUAUCAGGUCAAUGUAUGAAAAAGGAUAUGCAAGAUUACUGUAGAAACAAUGAAAAGUGUCGCAGGGAUAUCAUCAAUGAACAUUUUGGCUUCCAAACCAAGGAAAAACCAACAAUCUGCUGCAAUUUUUGUGACUCUCAACUGUGUAUUGAAUGGGAUUUUUCUAAUUUAGCAAUAAAUAAGUGAAAAAUCUCAAUUAGGUUCUUCAGCAAAGGAACAGAUUUUGAUGCACAAAUAAAAGUUUAACAAAGUGUUCUUGUUAAAGAUUUUUUUUUAAAUUACUGAAACAUCACUUUCUAAG